rnacentral:rRNA from 1 species
UGGGGAAUUUUGGACAAUGGGGGAAACCCUGAUCCAGCCAUCCCGCGUGUGCGAUGAAGGCCUUCGGGUUGUAAAGCACUUUUGGCAGGAAAGAAACGUCGCGGGUUAAUACCCCGCGAAACUGACGGUACCUGCAGAAUAAGCACCGGCUAACUACGUGCCAGCAGCCGCGGUAAUACGUAGGGUGCAAGCGUUAAUCGGAAUUACUGGGCGUAAAGCGUGCGCAGGCGGUUCGGAAAGAAAGAUGUGAAAUCCCAGAGCUUAACUUUGGAACUGCAUUUUUAACUACCGGGCUAGAGUGUGUCAGAGGGAGGUGGAAUUCCGCGUGUAGCAGUGAAAUGCGUAGAUAUGCGGAGGAACACCGAUGGCGAAGGCAGCCUCCUGGGAUAACACUGACGCUCAUGCACGAAAGCGUGGGGAGCAAACAGGAUUAGAUACCCUGGUAGUCCACGCCCUAAAACGAUGUCAACUAGCUGUUGGGGGCCUUCGGGCCUUGGUAGCGCAGCUAACGCGUGAAGUUGACCGCCUGGGGAGUACGGUC